AGCGAACGCUGGCGGCAGGCUUAACACAUGCAAGUCGAGCGGGCAUCCUUGUGGUGUCAGCGGCAGACGGGUGAGUAACGCGUGGGAACGUGCCCUUCGGUUCGGAAUAACUCAGGGAAACUUGAGCUAAUACCGGAUACGUGCGAGAGCAGAAAGGUUUAUCUGCCGAAGGAUCGGCCCGCGUCUGAUUAGCUAGUUGGUGAGGUUAUGGCUCACCAAGGCGACGAUCAGUAGCUGGUCUGAGAGGAUGAUCAGCCACACUGGGACUGAGACACGGCCCAGACUCCUACGGGAGGCAGCAGUGGGGAAUAUUGGACAAUGGGGGCAACCCUGAUCCAGCCAUGCCGCGUGAGUGAUGACGGCCUUAGGGUUGUAAAGCUCUUUUCUCCGGGAUGAUAAUGACGGUACCGGAGGAAUAAGCCCCGGCUAACUUCGUG
rnacentral:rRNA from 1 species